rnacentral:lncRNA from 1 species
GGGGGUCUCUUUUAUAGACGGGAGAGCGUAAUCGAUUGACAGCGAUGUCCGUAACUGCCUGGUAGUGGGCCGUUCGGGGCCACAUGGAGUUUGUUACGGAGAGUAGUGGUGUCCGUUGUCGCGACUUGUCGGAGAGUGGCGGGGCCACGUGGAGUUUGUUACAGAGAGUGGAGUGGUAUCCGUUGUCGCGACUUACCGG